rnacentral:rRNA from 1 species
GUUAGGAAUAUUGGACAAUGGACGCAAGUCUGAUCCAGCCAUGCCGCGUGAGUGAUGAAGGCCUUCGGGUUGUAAAGCUCUUUAGCCGAUGAUUAUAAUGACUGUAGUCGGAAAAUAAGCCCCGGCUAACUUCGUGCCGGCAGCCGCGGUAAUACGAAGGGGGCGAGCGUUAUUCGGAAUCACUGGGCGUAAAGCGUGCGUAGGCGGUUUUGUAAGUUGGGAGUGAAAGCCCAGGGCUCAACCCUGGAAUUGCACUCAAAACUACAAGACUUGAAGUCGGGAGAGGAUAGCGGAAUUGUCAGUGUAGCAGUGAAAUGCGUAGAUAUUGACAGGAACACCAGUGGCGUAAGCGGCUAUCUGGACCGACAUUGACGCUGAGGCACGAAAGCGUGGGGAUCAAACAGGAUUAGAAACCCUGGUAGUCC